rnacentral:rRNA from 1 species
CUGGUAGUCCACGCUGUAAACGGUGCAGACUCGAUGCGGGGGCCGGUCCCCUCCGUGUCUAAGCCAACGCGUUAAGUCUGCCGCCUGGGGACUACGGCCGCAAGGCUCAAACUCAAAGGAAUUGAUGGGGGCCCGCACAAGCGGUGGAGCAUGUGGCUUAAUUCGAGGCAACGCGAAGAACCUUACCCGGGCUUGACAUAUUCCGGACCGCCUGUGAAAGCAGGUUUUCCCUUCGGGGACCGGUAUACAGGUGCUGCAUGGCUGUCGUCAGCUCGUGCCGUGAGGUGUUCGGUUAAGUCCGGCAACGAGCGCAACCCGUAUCGUCAGUUGCCAUCAGGUAAUGCUGGGCACUCUGGCGAGACUGCCCGUGUCAAGCGGGAGGAAGGCGCGGACGACGUCAAGUCCGUAUGGCCCUUACGCCCGGGGCUGCACACGUGCUACAAUGGGCGGUACAGUGGGAAGCGAAACCGCGAGGUGAAGCGAAUCCCCAAAACCGCCCCCAGUUCGGAUCGGAGUCUGCAAUUCGACUCCGUGAAGUCGGAAUCGCUAGUAAAGGCGCAUCAGCAACGGCGCCUUGAAUUCGUUCCCGGGCAUUGUACACACCGCCCGUCACAUCAUGGAAGCCGCUGCACCCGA